GACAGAGGGUGCAAACGUUGUUCGGAUUUACUGGGCGUAAAGCGCGUGUAGGCGGCUUCGUAAGUUGGAUGUGAAAUCCCACGGCUCAACUGUGGACGUGCAUCCAAAACUACGUCGCUGGAGUCUCGGAGAGGAAGGUGGAAUGCUUGGUGUAGAGGUGAAAUUCGUAGAUAUUAGGAAGAACACCGGUGGCGAAGGCGGCCAUCUGGCUCGGUACUGACGCUCAGGCGCGAAAGCGUGGGGAGCAAACAGG
rnacentral:rRNA from 1 species